rnacentral:rRNA from 1 species
CCUGACGGUAGUCGUAUGCUCGUCUCCGAGACUAAGCCAUGCAAGUCCAAGUACACGUCCUUGAACGACGGAAACUGCGAACGGCUCAUUAAAUCAGUUGCGAUCUACUCGGCGUUCCGCGCCGCCGGAUAACCGUAGUAAUUCUAGGGCUAAUACGUGCGAAGCGCCCGAAGCCGCGAGGCGACGGGCGUUCUCGCCGGAUGUAGGAACCGACCCGGGGACCGCCGGGGCAACCCGGCGCCCCCGAGACGGGGCGAACCACGGUGAAAUGACGGAUCGUCGGCCCCGCGCCGGCGACUCGCCGAAUGAGUUUCUGACCUAUCAACUCGAGACGGCGGGGUAGAGGCCCGCCGCGGUAACGACGGGUAACGGGGAAUCAGGGUUCGAUUCCGGAGAGGGAGCCCGAGAAACGGCUACCACUUCCAAGGAAGGCAGCAGG